rnacentral:rRNA from 1 species
GAUGAACGCUGGCGGCGUGCCUAAUACAUGCAAGUCGAGCGAACAGACGAGGAGCUUGCUCCUCUGACGUUAGCGGCGGACGGGUGAGUAACACGUGGAUAACCUACCUAUAAGACUGGGAUAACUUCGGGAAACCGGAGCUACUACCGGAUAACAUGUUGAACCGCAUGGUUCAACAGUGAAAGACGGUCUUGCUGUCACUUAUAGAUGGAUCCGCACCGCAUUAGCUAGUUGGCAAGGUAACGGCUUACCAAGGCAACGAUGCUUAGCCGACCUGAACGGGUGAUCGGACAGACGGGAACUGAGACACGGCACAGACUCCGACGGGGGGCAGCAGUAGGGAAUCUUCCGGGAUGGGCGAAAGCCUAACGGAGGAACGCCGCGUGAGUGAAGAUGGUCUUCGGAUCGUAGAACGCUGUUAUUAGGGAAGAACAAAUGUGUAAGUAACUAUGCACGUCUUGACGGUACCUAAACAGAAAGCCACGGCUAACUACGUG